GCGCCCGUAGCUCAGUGGAUAGAGCGCAUGGUUGCGGUCCAUGAGAUCGUAGGUUCGAUUCCUGCCGGGCGCACCA
rnacentral:tRNA from 1 species